GGAUGUGAGGGCAAUCUGGUUGCAACAUCAGUCACCCCAUCGAUUGCCAGGGUUGACUUGGCUGGCGAGGCGGGUGUCCGCCCUCACCGCUCUGUGUGCGUCCCUCCCGAAGCUGCGUGCUCGGUGGGAGAGGACGACCUUCCCCAAAUAGACGAGGAUCCAUCUUUGGUCGAGGGAUUAUGAGCAGCUACUCUCCCCAGCUAGGACCUCCAAACAAGUUCUCAAAUAAAUAAAAAAUAAAUAUUAGGAAAGAGAUUUGUUAAAAUGUUUAUCUGCACUGUCUUCAGGUCAUA
rnacentral:snRNA from 1 species